GAGUUUGAUCAUGGCUCAGAUUGAACGCUGGCGGCAGGCCUAACACAUGCAAGUCGAGCGGUAACAGAAAGUAGCUUGCUACUUUGCUGACGAGCGGCGGACGGGUGAGUAAUGCUUGGGAACAUGCCUUGAGGUGGGGGACAACAGUUGGAAACGACUGCUAAUACCGCAUAAUGUCUACGGACCAAAGGGGGCUUCGGCUCUCGCCUUUAGAUUGGCCCAAGUGGGAUUAGCUAGUUGGUGAGGUAAUGGCUCACCAAGGCGACGAUCCCUAGCUGGUUUGAGAGGAUGAUCAGCCACACUGGGACUGAGACACGGCCCAGACUCCUACGGGAGGCAGCAGUGGGGAAUAUUGCACAAUGGGCGCAAGCCUGAUGCAGCCAUGCCGCGUGUGUGAAGAAGGCCUUCGGGUUGUAAAGCACUUUCAGUCAGGAGGAAAGCGUGGUGGUUAAUACCCAUCAUGUGUGACGUUACUGACAGAAGAAGCACCGGCUAACUCCGUGCCAGCAGCCGCGGUAAUACGGAGGGUGCGAGCGUUAAUCGGAAUUACUGGGCGUAAAGCGUACGCAGGCGGUUUGUUAAGCGAGAUGUGAAAGCCCCGGGCUCAACCUGGGAACUGCAUUUCGAACUGGCAAACUAGAGUGUGAUAGAGGGUGGUAGAAUUUCAGGUGUAGCGGUGAAAUGCGUAGAGAUCUGAAGGAAUACCGAUGGCGAAGGCAGCCACCUGGGUCAACACUGACGCUCAUGUACGAAAGCGUGGGGGAGCAAACGGGAUUAGAUACCCCGGUAGUCCACGCCGUAAACGAUGUCUACUAGAAGCUCGGAGCCUCGGUUCUGUUUUUCAAAGCUAACGCAUUAAGUAGACCGCCUGGGGAGUACGGCCGCAAGGUUAAAACUCAAAUGAAUUGACGGGGGCCCGCACAAGCGG
rnacentral:rRNA from 1 species